rnacentral:rRNA from 1 species
UAUUGGACAAUGGGCGAAAGCCUGAUCCAGCAAUGCCGCGUGAGUGAUGAAGGCCCUAGGGUNGUAAAGCUCUUUUACCCGGGAANNUCNNNANUGUACCGGGAGAAUAAGCCCCGGCUAACUCCGUGCCNNNANACGCGGUAAUACGGAGGGGGCUAGCGUUGUUCGGAAUUACUGGGCGUAAAGCGCACGUAGGCGGCUUUGUAAGUCAGAGGUGAAAGCCUGGAGCUCAACUCCAGAACUGCCUUUGAGACUGCAUCGCUUGAAUCCAGGAGAGGUCAGUGGAAUUCCGAGCGUAGAGGUGAAAUUCGUAGAUAUUCGGAAGAACACCAGUGGCGAAGGCGGCUGACUGGACUGGUAUUGACGCUGAGGUGCGAAAGCGUGGGGAGCAAACAGG